AUGUACAUUCCCACAACAUAGCGUUAAUGCACCAGAUCCCAUUAGAACUCCACAGUUAAGUGCGCUCAAGCUAGAGUAGUACUGGGAUGGGUGACUGCCCGGGAAGUGCUAGUAUUUUACAUG
rnacentral:rRNA from 1 species